UGUCAUCAUCUUGUCGUAAAUCGUUGAAAAGACAUAUUUCUGACUCCAUUUCUCACACCACCCGCUGCUCCAACCAGUGCACGUGCCUGAGGGCCUGGCGUUGGCACCUGUGGCUCUACACCGUCAGACAGAGGAGAUGCAGGAGGUCAGAGUUCACACAGAGGAGAUGCAGGAGGUCAGAGGUCAGACAGAGGAGAUGCAGGAGGUCAGAGUUCAUUUUCCUUGCAGAGACUUUCCUUGCUCUCUCGUGAGCGCAUUUACAGCCUGGGCAUGCUCCUGCUACUUCUGCUUAGUCCCUAAGAACAAAUUGUUAUAUUAUAUUAUGCAUGUAACAUAAAUUCUUAAAAUAAGUCCAUUAUUUAAAAAGGAUAUAAUGUGAAAUCAAAACCUACAUGUACUAUUUAUGCAGUUCAAUCAUGUU
ensembl:lncRNA